UUCAAAUCUAUUGUCUACCUU
rnacentral:piRNA from 1 species